GGGCAGGACGGAACGCUGCGGCCGAUUUGCCUGUAGAAUGGCGGGCUGGGGUCUUAGAAAGGAGGGGUUGGAUGUGCAAGGCCCAGAAUGAUAGCUGGGGAGUGGUUUCCCCCUGAAGUUGGCCUCCCUGCCGCGCCUGCUUCGCACUGCGACGCUCAGCCUGUGAUGGCUGAUGUGGAAUCCGCUGAGCCAUCUUGGCCUGGGGAGACUUUGCCACUCUGUGAUUGUAAAUCUGUAAAAUAAGAGAUGUAGGAUUAGCCCACAGGGUAGUUGUGGUAAAUACUGUGAGAUGAUAGGGUGCCUGGGACACAGCAUUCAAUUGGGAAUAAUGAAGAUGAAAACUCUCUCCUGUAUCUUUGGCUCUGUAUCAUAAGCACCGUCGUGGGCACAGGGCAGUGUCCUUUAUGCAGGAGUUUAAGAGGGAAUGAAGGAAUGAAUGGGCAAACUCUAGAGUUCCCAAGUAUUCUCUCCAGGAGAUGUUUCCAUUCUCUUCAUUUCUAGCAAAUCCAAGAGACAAUUGUUGGAAUGUAAAAAGAGCAAGGGACUUGGAGUCAAAUGCUUAGGUCUACCAUCAAAUGGUUGUUAAGAAUUCAACUAUUUUUGUGUGCCCAGUUAAAUGUGGGCUUCUUAGCAAUGGUGACUGUGUCUUAAUGAUCUCUGUAUUCCUAGGUGACAUGUCGAGUAAUUGUGCCUGACUCAUAGUAUGUACUCCGGAAAGAAAUAGAAAAUACAGUUUUAGCAUUGAAGGCGGGGAGAGAAGGUCUAACAGACUACAAGGCCCACCAGGAGCGGAGUGAGGGAAACAAGGGGAAAAAAGUGUUUUUAGUCUGUGCCUAAAUGUAAAUACUUCUGUUUGCAGCCCAAAAGCCAAAAAUGUACAUAAGCUUGGCUUUUCUGUAGCUAUGUUUAUGGCUUUACAGCAGAUUUGAUGGAACCGCAAUUACUUUGAUCAUGAGGGACUGAUGCUAGUGGAUUUGUUUUACCAAAUGGAUCUCACUCUGUGGCUUCUGGAGAAGGGACCUUUGUAAACUGUCAUGGGGUAGUUCAGAGUGCAGGCUCUGAUGUAGUGAUGAGAGUCUGCAUUGUCAGGAAUGGGACAAAGCGAAGUCAUGUGACACUUGAUAGGCUGCCCUGAGAAGAUGCCAACAUCACUCUUGUGACAUUCCUGCUGAAGAUCCAUAACCUGAGUAAUCACGAGGAUACAUCAGACAAACCCAAAUAGAGACAUGCUGUAUACAAAACUGUAAUCUUAGAAAGCGCCAAGGUCAUGAAAAUCAAAGACCCUUGAACUGUUCCGAACUGAAGGGGACCAAAGAGAAAUGACAACUAAGCACAACACAUGAUUCUGAACUGGUUCCUUUUGCUUGAAAGGAAAUUAUAGGGACAACUGGAAAAGUUUAAAUGGGGCCUAGGAUGCCAUGCUAAUGAUGUGUCCAUGUUAAUUUCCUGAUUUUCAUGGUUGCCUGUUAAUUACAUCAGAGGAUGUCCUUGUUUGUUAGAAAGUAAAUUAAUGUAUUUGGCAGGGAAUAAGGCAUCAGAUGGUCUCCUUAAUCUCAAGUUAUUAUGGUGAAAAUGUUUCUCUCUGUACUUACAACUUUUUUGAUAAUUUUAAAAAAUGAAAGCUCUUUAGGAAAAACUUCAAGGAUCCAA